GACGAACGCUGGCGGCGUGCCUAACACAUGCAAGUCGAGCGGAGAUAAGCGGAAGGUAACUGAAGCUUAUCUUAGCGGCGGACGGGUGAGUAACACGUGGGCAACCUGCCUUGAAGUGGGGGAUAACACCGGGAAAUCGGUGCUAAUACCGCAUAACAUACACAAACUGCAUGGUAAGUGUAUCAAAGGAGCAAUCCGCUUUAAGAUGGGCCCGCGGCUGAUUAGCUAGUUGGUAAGGUAACGGCUUACCAAGGCGACGAUCAGUAGCCGACCUGAGAGGGUGACCGGCCACACUGGAACUGAGACACGGUCCAGACUCCUACGGGGAGGCAGCAGGUGGGGAAUAUUGCGCAAUGGGGGGAACCCUGACGCAGCAACGCCGCGUGGAGGAAGAAGGUCUUCGGAUUGUAAACUCCUGUCUUCUGGGACGAAUAAUGACGGUACCAGAGGAGGAAGCCACGGCUAACUACGUG
rnacentral:rRNA from 1 species